GAUGAACGCUGGCGGCGUGCCUAAUACAUGCAAGCCGAGCGAGCAGAUGAGGAGCUUGCUCCUCUGACGUUAGCGGCGGACGGGUGAGUAACACGUGGAUAACCUACCUAUAAGACUGGGAUAACUUCGGGAAACCGGAGCUAAUACCGGAUAAUAUAUUGAACCGCAUGGUUCAAUAGUGAAAGACGGUUUUGCUGUCACUUAUAGAUGGAUCCGCGCCGCAUUAGCUAGUUGGUAAGGUAACGGCUUACCAAGGCAACGAUGCGUAGCCGACCUGAGAGGGUGAUCGGCCACACUGGAACUGAGACACGGUCCAGACUCCUACGGGAGGCAGCAGUAGGGAAUCUUCCGCAAUGGGCGAAAGCCUGACGGAGCAACGCCGCGUGAGUGAUGAAGGUCUUCGGAUCGUAAAACUCUGUUAUUAGGGAAGAACAAAUGUGUAAGUAACUAUGCACGUCUUGACGGUACCUAAUCAGAAAGCCACGGCUAACUACGUG
rnacentral:rRNA from 1 species